rnacentral:rRNA from 1 species
UCGGAUUGUAGUCUGCAACCCGACUACAUGAAGCUGGAAUCGCUAGUAAUCGCGGAUCAGAAUGCCGCGGUGAAUACGUUCCCGGGUCUUGUACACACCGCCCGUCACACCAUGGGAGUCGGAAAUGCCCGAAGUCUGUGACCCAACCUUAGGGAGGGAGCAGCCGAAGGCAGGUCGGAUGACUGGGGUGAAGUCGUAACAAGGUAUC